rnacentral:rRNA from 1 species
GUAGGGUGCAAGCGUUAAUCGGAAUUACUGGGCGUAAAGCGUGCGCAGGCGGUUUUGGUAAGUCUGUCGUGAAAGCCCCGGGGCUUAACCUGGGGAAUUGCGAUGGAGACUGCAAGGCUUGAAUCUGGCAGAGGGGGUAGAAUUCCACGUGUAGCAGUGAAAUGCGUAGAGAUGUGGAGGAACACCGAUGGCGAAGGCAGCCCCCUGGGUCAAGAUUGACGCUCAUGCACGAAAGCGUGGGGAGCAAACAGGAUUAGAUACCCUGGUAGUCCACGCCCUAAACGAUGUCUACUAGUUGUCGGGUCUUAAUUGACUUGGUAACGCAGCUAACGCGUGAAGUAGACCGCCUGGGGAGUACGGUCGCAAGAUUA